rnacentral:rRNA from 1 species
UACGGAGGGUGCAAGCGUUAUCCGGAUUCACUGGGUUUAAAGGGUGCGUAGGUGGACAGGUAAGUCAGUGGUGAAAUCCCCGAGCUUAACUCGGGAACUGCCGUUGAUACUAUCUGUCUUGAAUAUCGCGGAGGUAAGCGGAAUAUGUCAUGUAGCGGUGAAAUGCUUAGAUAUGAACAUAGAACACCGAUUGCGAAGGCAGCUUACUACACGAUCAUUGACACUGAGGCACGAAAGCGUGGGGAGCAAACAGGA